CUACUGCAACAACAUCGUUUGAUGCAAGUGUACAUGUAAGUGAGGAACCAAAAGAUGGAGAACCAACUAAGAUCAAUGCUGCUGGAAGAAACCAAGGCUGAGAAUGAUUCGGCACGAAAAGGUAUAUGACAAGGAGGAUUCCUCCGCCAGUUACACAAAUACAAAAAAUGCAAGAGAUUAGAGGAACUCUCAUAUCCCCGUACCUAUCCUCCAUUCGAUUCAGAAUCAAUCUAAUCUCCCCGAAUAUAUAACUUAAUAUAGCCGACGACAAUAAAUUAGUCAAAAGCAGUAACAUUCUAGGGCUGCACUUUCAAUUGGUAGAAAAAAGGUACACAACCCCAUUCAAUUUAUCCUGCACUUGGAAAAGAGGAAUAAAUAUAGUGAUAACUUUAAUUCUCUUUCUAUUGUCAUCUUUAGGUACCUCCUCCUUUUUCUUCCAAUUUUGGGUUGAGAUGAAAGAAAGAAGCAACAGG
rnacentral:lncRNA from 1 species